rnacentral:rRNA from 1 species
GACGAACGCUGGCGGCGUGCUUAACACAUGCAAGUCGAACGGAAAGGCCCUGCUUUUGUGGGGUGCUCGAGUGGCGAACGGGUGAGUAACACGUGAGUAACCUGCCCUUGACUUGGGAAUACCUCCAGGAAACUGGGGUUAAUACCGGAUGGGAGCCCCGCCUGCAGGGUGGGGGUUGGAAAGUUUCGGCGGUUGGGGAUGGACUCGCGGCUUAUCAGCUUGUUGGUGGGGUAGUGGCUUACCAAGGCUUUGACGGGUAGCCGGCCUGAGAGGGUGACCGGCCACAUUGGGACUGAGAUACGGCCCAGACUCCUACGGGAGGCAGCAGUGGGGAAUAUUGCACAAUGGGCGGAAGCCUGAUGCAGCAACGCCGCGUGCGGGAUGACGGCCUUCGGGUUGUAAACCGCUUUCGCCUGUGACGAAGCGUGAGUGACGGUAAUGGGUAAAGAAGCACCGGCUAACUACGUG